CGCAGCCGCGGUAAUUCCAGCUCCAAUAGCGUAUAUUAAAGUUGUUGCAGUUAAAAGCUCGUAGUUGAAUUUUGGGUCUGGCCGGGCGGUCCGCCUUCUGGGUGAGUACUGUUCCGCAGUCGGGCCUAUCCUUCUGGUGAAUCGGCAUGCCCUUUACUGGAUGUGUCGGGGAACCAGGACCAUUACCUUGAAAAAUUGAGUGUUCAAAGCAGGCGCAUGCUCGAAUACAUUAGCAUGGGAUAAUGAAAUAGGACGCGUGGUGCUAUUUUGUUGGUUUCUAGAACCACCGUAAUGAUUAAUAGGGAUAGUUGGGGGCAUUAGUAUUCAAUUGUCAGAGGUGAAAUUCUUGGAU
rnacentral:misc_RNA from 1 species